UCUCUGAUAGCUCAGUCGGUAAAGCAUGAGACUAUUAAUCUGAGGGUCAUAGGUUCAGGCCUCACAUUGGACAA